rfam:Dipodomys ordii contig_38893, whole genome shotgun sequence.
GGGAAGUUGGCUCAGUGGUAGAGUGCUUGCUUUGCAUGCAUGAGGCCCUGGGUUCAAUUCCUCAGUUCACCA